AGGCAGCAGUUUGGAAUUUUGGACAAUGGGCGCAAGCCUGAUCCAGCGACGCCGCGUGCNGGANGAAGGNCUUCGGGUUGUAAAGUCCUUUUGUACGGGACGAAAAGGUUNUUUCUAAUAAAGAGAGCUCAUGACGGUACCGUAAGAAUAAGCACCGGCUAACUACGUGCCAGCAGCAGCGGUAAUACGUAGGGUGCAAGCGUUAAUCGNAAUUACUGGGCGUAAAGCGUGCGCAGGCGGUUACUUAAGCCAGAUGUGAAAUCCCCGGGCUUAACUUGGGUAUGGCAUCUGUGACUGCAUAGCUAGAGUACGGUAGAGGGGGCUGGAAUUCCGCGUGUAGCAGUGAAAUGGUAGAUAUGUGGAGGAAUCACCGAUGGCGAAGGCAAUCCCCUGGACCUGUACUGACACUCAUGCACGAAAGCGUGGGGGGCAAACAGGAUUAGAUACCCUGGUAGNCCACGCCCUAAACGAUGUCAACUGGUUGUUGGGUCUUCACUGACUCAGUAACGAAGCUAACGCGUGAAGUUGACCGCCUGGGGAGUACGGCCGCAAGGUUGAAACUCAAAGGAAUUGACGGA
rnacentral:rRNA from 1 species